rnacentral:rRNA from 1 species
UGUGCCAGCAGCCGCGGUAAUACGAAGGGGGCUAGCGUUGCUCGGAAUUACUGGGCGUAAAGGGCGCGUAGGCGGCCUGCUUAGUCAGACGUGAAAAUCCUGGGCUUAACCUGGGGACUGCGUUUGAUACGGGUGGGCAAAGAGGAUGGAAGAGGCUCGUGGAAUUCCCAGUGUAGAGGUGAAAUUCGUAGAUAUUGGGAAGAACACCGGUGGCGAAGGCGGCGAGCUGGUCCAUUACUGACGCUGAGGCGCGACAGCGUGGGGAGCAAACAGGAUUAGAUACCCUGGUAGUCCACGCCGUAAACGAUGUGCGCUGGAUGUUGGGUGGCCUAGCCACUCAGUGUCGUAGCUAACGCGAUAAGCGCACCGCCUGGGGAGUACGGCCGCAAGGUUGAAACUCAAAUAAAUUGAAGGG